rnacentral:rRNA from 1 species
ACGAACGCUGGCGGCGUGCUUAACACAUGCAAGUCGAACGGAAAGGCCCUGCUUGCCGGGUACUCGAGUGGCGAACGGGUGAGUAACACGUGGGUGAUCUGCCCUGCACUUCGGGAUAAGCUUGGGAAACUGGGUCUAAUACCGGAUAGGAGCCAUCUUUAGUGUGGUGGUUGGAAAGUUUUUUCGGUGUAGGAUGAGCUCGCGGCCUAUCAGCUUGUUGGUGGGGUAAUGGCCUACCAAGGCGGCGACGGGUAGCCGGCCUGAGAGGGUGUACGGCCACAUUGGGACUGAGAUACGGCCCAGACUCCUACGGGAGGCAGCAGUGGGGAAUAUUGCACAAUGGGCGCAAGCCUGAUGCAGCGACGCCGCGUGGGGGAUGAAGGCCUUCGGGUUGUAAACUCCUUUCGCUAGGGACGAAGCUUUUUUGUGACGGUACCUAGAGAAGAAGCACCGGCUAACUACGUG